UUGGGGGUGGCCCCGUGCUGGGCUGCGGGGGGCUUGCAGGCUGGAGGCGCCUGAGCUCGUCUCGGGCUGCUUUUAAAUCACUGAAAUUCAAGGCGGAAUAGUCGCCUCGUUGCUUCCCCCCCUCCCCGUUAUUCGGUUUAAAUUUUCCUGCCUGGGUGCUCAGCCACACCUGAUGUUAUGUCCUGUCUUAGAGGCACAAGGCAACGCUGCAGCGCGGGCGAAAAUAACACGUCUAACUGGGUGCAGGAUGUCGCUGCUAGCUGUGCCGUUCCGCAUCGGUGCGAAAAUAAAUAGGCGCUUGAACGCCGCGGUGCUGAGCGGCUGCGGAGCUGGGGCGGGAGCUGCACCUAAGCGAAAUGCAGCGCUGGGAAGAAAGUCAACAGCAGGGUGUAAUGCUGAUUGUCAAACAAAGAGUCCCAGUCAGGAAGUCAAGUUUUCUCAGGUUCUGAACAUAGUAGGACAGUUGGUUGCUAACUGACCCGGAACUUGUGCUCUGCUUUAGAAAGAUCUGCAGUGAGAGACUUUCACCUUAACACAUCUGCGAGUUUUCUGUCUCAGAAGAAAGGGACUUCAUGUGUGAGGGUCGUCCAAGAUGAUGAUGUAACUCAGAUAACACUCAAGCUAUCCUGAGAAUAACUGAGGCUUUGUAAGAGGCUUUUCCUUUUUUUUUUUUUGAUAACUCGCCC
rnacentral:lncRNA from 1 species